rnacentral:lncRNA from 1 species
UAUUUCUCUAAUGACACCAUUUCAGGUCCUGUUACCAUGCAGGAACCCACUUCCCAACUGCCAUGUCCUGUAGGGAAGUGUAGGAUAUGGCUUCGGCCCUGCUCAUCGCUCUGGUCUUUCUUCUCUUUCUGUGAUGCUUACUUUGUUUUUGAGCCCAAUUCUUUCUUUUUGGAUUCUCUCUUUUUAAAUCUAUGGUUGCUAUAUGCAAUGGGCAGAAUUCAUUAUGUCAUUUGAGCAGAAGUCUGAUGUUCUGAAGUGGGCUUUCUAUACUCCUAUCUUAAAGCAGAUGCAUAAAUGUCAGGGUACUUUAAAAAUCUAUCCCUGGAUGAAGUAAGAUUAGGAAGUGGUGUCCCUCAUUGCUUUAACUGCAUUAUGCCACUCACAGUGAAAAUCUGUGCUCUGCUUCAGAGCUGUGGAGGGCAUUAUUCUUUACAUACUCCCUUUGAAAAAGAUGAGGUUUCACGAGAGAAAUCUCAUGUCAGCGUGAGGAAUAAUUAUGCUUCUCUUAGGGGACAAGAACACUGUGAAUCAUAACUGAUGUCUCCCUUUUUCUACUGGUCUGAGGAUGCUCACCGUCAAAACUGGUGGCCCACAUGUACAAGAAUAGGCAGCUUUUUUAGUGCUGAUCUGUCUUCAACUUGUUUCCUGCCCUUAUGUUAAAAUAUGACUCUCUCUCUAUAUAUAUUUUAUUGCAUUGUAUGAAUUUAUGUAAUUUAUCUUAAAAUCCUUUUUGCAUGAAGGCCUAGUAUCAUCUAAUCAAAACAGCUUCACCUUAUUUUCCCAACUGUACUGGGUAGAGGCUGCGUGUGCUGGCACACUGACUCCCGGUAUGGUGCUGGUUAAUUAGCGUUACGGACAUAGACACAGCCCCUUCCUCAAUCUGCCUCCCACUACUCAAGGAAGGGAGGCCGGACUCUGGCUUAAACAGGCCAGGCAGCCACUGAGCCUACCCCUUGGUCCCCAACGUGUCACCAGCCCCAGCAUCUCUCGUCUCCCUCCAUCACCCCCUCCCAUCCGAGCCCGCGCGGCCUCCCGUCGCUAUC